UCCCUGUGGAGGCCAUGACGAGGAGGGAGUAGUUCACCCUCGGGGCUAAGGGUAUGUAUGUGUAGCUAUGUUUCUCUCUCUCUCGUGUUCUUGAGAUGUCAUGAUCUUGAUGUAUCAUGAGCUUUGUUAAUAUAGUUGGAUCAUAUGGUGUUCUUCCCUUGCCAUCUUGUUGUGCUGAAUUGAAUCUUUUCCUUUGAGAUCUCGUUAUGUUGGAUUGAAUAUUAAAUUUGAGAACACUUAAUGUAUGUAUUCAUGUGGAUACCCAUAGUGACAAUGGGGUAUUCUAUUGAUUUACUUGAUAUAUGUUAUGGCAUCAACUUCCGGAUUCCAGUGACCUUGGGGAUCUAUGCACAGGGGUUGAUUGCAAGUUUUCAUAUUACGUUUUGUGAUAGAAAUCUUGGGGUACUCCUUAAAGUUCUUUGUGUUGGAUUGAAUAUGAUAAUUCUAAAAUUAUUUGAUGCAUGUUGUAUAAUUUGUUGACAGAUACAUGAGAUGACAUUGGAGUAUCUAGGUAACAUUAGGGUUGAUUGAUAUGUAUCAUGGCUAUUAUUCUAGUACAAACCCUAGGGUUGUCUAUUACACUUAUAGGAAUAUCUCAAAAGAUUGAUAGGAAACAAUAACUUUGAGGUGGUUGUACUACCUACACCAAUUUCAUCUUAUGUUCUCUGCUACUUAUGAACUUUGGAGUGAUUGUUUGUUGCAUGUUGAGGGAUGAUCAUAUGAUUCUAUUAUGUUAGCAUUGUUGGGGAUUGCACUUGUGAAAAUAUGAACCCUAGGACUUAUUUAGAAGCAUUUCUAUAAUGUUUUGCUCAUUGUUUUCCACUUGCUACAUUGCUGUUUUUAUAUUUCCAGAUUACAAAAACCUAUAUCUACUAUCCAUAUUGCACUUGUAUCCCCAUAUCUUUGCCGAACUAGUGUAUCUAUACAAUUUACCAUUGUAUUGGGUGUGUUGGGUACCGUCGGUGUCAAAACCGGCGGAUCUUGUUGGGGGUCCCGAACCGUGGACCUUGGAUCAAUGGGUUGCACGAGACAAAGGGGACAGUGUUUUACCUAGGUUUGGGCCCUCUUGAGGAGGUAAAACCCUACAUCAUGCUUGAUUAUCUUGAUGGAGUAUGAGGAUUACAGAGUUGAUCUACCUCGAGAUCGAAUGAGCUAAACCCUAGAUGAAUCCACUUGUCUAUGCAGAUGAAACCCUCUGGAUUAUGUAGACACCAGGGGUCCCUAGGGUUACAUACAACUGACCUUUUAGUUGGGGGCAGGAUGUCGACCUAGACUACUAAACUUGGAUGAUACGCCCAUCUUCGGAGCUUCCCUUCUUGAAUAAGAAGUCGUCAUGUAGUCUGCUUUUUGUUAAUACAACCCAUAUGGCCGAUCUGUAAAAGAUGGGCUGAUCAUCCAAGGACCCGUGUUUCCAAGACUCCCUCAGUAUCCCGUGAAGUUGCAUCCAACGUCGAUGUACAUGGUCUUCGACAACUUCUUGUACCCAGGGUGAUCGGCUUGUGAGGCGAGUUCCUCUAUUUCCCCUUAUUUGUGGAUUGACAACCCUAGUCAUUGACCAAAUCUAGAUUACUAAAGUGUCACGGGGCCUAUGGCCUCCAAACUUUCCGCUCGAGAAUUCAUAGCAGCACCCGAUUUUUGUGUGUACUAAUGAAAACAAGAAAUCUAGCAGUCCCACUCGGAACCGCUUCUCAAAACCGUGAGGGAAAAAUACCCUUUAUAAACAGAGCCAAUCUGUCCUUGGGUGACCAUGAACCCUCAGGCACCACCAAGAGAAAACCCUAGAGCUCCAACGCCUAGAGCUAUGGUGGGUUCCUCCUCGCGUCCCUUUGGCCCCCCUCCCGAGAGAUUGGGCAAGCCGUUCCGUUACCUUGCUCUAGUUGCGCAUCCUUCCCACAUCGGAUAUCGCGCCUACCCGUGCUAGACUGACCUCUCGAAGAAAAUUUCCCUACCCUGCAAAAGGGCGAACGGAUCCACUUUGUUUCUUUCCUGCUGCAGGGUAUGGGUUUUCCGGUCAACCCCUUCCUGAGGGGCUUACUAGAGUUCUACGAGCUCCAUCUUCACAACCUUACCCCCGGCUCAAUCCUUCACAUCUCGAGCUUCGUAGCCCUGUGCAAGAUGUUCUUGGGCUGUGAGCCCGACUUCGACUUAUGGAGAAAGUACUUCUGCCUCGUUCCCCGAACUAGGGGAACGUCAAUUCGGGAGGUGGGUGGAGCUGAAGUGUGGCGUAUAGCCGGGACCGGAUACCCGGUCGGGACUCCAAAGAAGAAAACCAAUCAAUGGUCUUCGAAAUGGUAUUAUAUCGAAGACAUUCCCAUAUUCGACCUAGUUCGGAGAGGUCUUCCCAAAUACUCGGAGGUCUCCUUGAAAAAGCGGUUUAGCUGGUGGCCGGUCAGUCCCUCCCAAGAGGAGAGCCCCAAAUUAUAGUGCCUCGCAGCCAAGGUAAGGUUACUUGCUCAGAGCGGGCUAACCAUCAUCGAGCCGAUGGCUGCAGCAAUCACCCGGUGUGUCUAGCCACUCCAACAGCGCACACAGCCCUUGUGGCGCUACAACGGGACAAGCGACACCACCCGUUCUACGCGACAGGGAUCGAAUAAUCAAGAGGCUUUGGCGGCCAUUUUGGCCGACCUUUUUAAGUGGGGGAAAAGAGAAUUUCACCCACCUUACCGCCAGGGACGGCUACUCGGCAUACAAUCCCAUUGAAUGGGUAAGUGUGAUUAUUAUUCCAUAGUACGGACACUUAUGCUUGGUCUUAGCGACCAAUAACCCCUUGCCUUUCUUAACACACUUGGAGGCGUUGGAUUGAGACGGUCAAUUGUCCCACCCCUCAACCCAAAAACUUCUCCCGUGAUGACGACCCCAAAUUCCAUGAGGAUCCGGAGCUUUCAAUUGAUUUUGAGGACGGAGUAUUUUAUGAGGAAAAUGUCGACGAGGUCAAGGUGGCCUUCCACGCUAAAUAUUUGUGAAAAUUUAGGGAAACUCAGUGGACAUAUAUAUUCCAUAUACAGGAGUUUCAACACAUGGUCAUGUUCAAAAUAUUAGGUAAAACCCUUCAAAACACUUCCUUCCUAUUUGAAGCUUUUGGAAUAUUUCUAUAAAAAAUAUUCUCAAUAAAUCCCAGUAAAAUUCUAGCAUGUCACCCAUGAUAUAUGUGAUGAUCUUGCCAAGUUUCAUCUCAAUCCAAGUUGAUUUGGUUUAGCUAAAUAUUCCAAAACCAUAUUUGUCCAGAUCCAAAUUUGAGCAACUCUACACUGCCACGGCUGUCUAAUUGUUCUCAAAUUUGAUGGACAACUUCUGAUACUUUAAUAAUGCAUGCACACCAAGUGGUGCAUCAAGGAGAAUAGAUGAACUUGUCCCAAACCCCUCCAAACCUUCUUUGUUGAUUUCUAGCCUUGGGAAACUUUACAUUAUAAAGUUUCUCCAAUUGCUCCCAUACUUUUUGGGCAGUCUCUAAUGCUCAAAUAAUAGUACCACACCAAGUUGUGGAUUUUUGGGAGUUGAUUUGCAAGGUUUCAUAUGCAGAAAGCCAUUUCUGCCCAUUUCAUGGGUUUUUCAAGUCUACAUUGGAAACUUUCUCCACCAAAUCCCAAAGUUGGUGUCCAAGCCUAUUUUCAUCUAUUAUGUGAUCCUGUUAAGUUUCAUAGUAAACGGGGUCCAUUUGCUAGCCCUAGCAUCCAUCAAACACCUUCUGUCCAAUUACCAAAACUGCUGCUUUGGCCCCUUCCACUAAUCUCCUUGAGCUAAAAACUUUAGCACAACUCUCUCUAGUCCCCUUUUACCUACAGUAACCUUUCCAUGGCCACUGGUCAAUUAUUGGAGGGUGACUCCAUGUAUGUACCUCUCAUUUGUACGUUGGCAACACUAGUUUUAGCCCUCUUGCCAUACUUCUGUUCUUGCCAAUGCCCCCACAACUUUCCAGAGAAUCUAUAGUAUGCUAAUGCAUCAUUCCAAACCAAUAUAUGGCAUGCUCAUGUGGGAAAUAUGAGCAACCUUUCUAAGACUAGUUUUUGGGCAGAAAUGUAGCUUUGGACUACAAAUGUUAGCUACACACCUCCCCUUGAUCUAAAACUUUGCAGUAGUGUAAUCCUCCCAUAGAAAAUACUGCUAGACAUGGUUUCAUCCCAAGACUACCCCAUUGAAAACCACUUUUGCUAGCCCCAAGUUUGCUGCUGCAAACUUAAUCAGAGCUGAAACAAAUUCAAACUAGCCCCAUUUGGGUCCAAUCUUCACCAGUGCUCUCUAGCACACAUGCCUUGCAUGCUUGAGACCUUGGUCUGGCCAAGGGGUGGCUUUGGACACGUAGAGAGGUGGUGAGCACCUCCCUGUGUGCAGAAAUGGUGCUCUGCACCUUGUCUUCACCCUGUAGGCCAUGUUUAGCAGUGGCGGUUUGUCCCAAAGCGCCAGGGCACUUCCCUUGACCGUCCAAGUCCCUUGCCGACACUAGGUUGCCUCCAAACUCCCCCUGGCACGCGUGCUCUCCCGUGCCCAGGGCAUACGAGGCACCCGAGCCUCCCAUGUCACCCCCUAUUGCUUAUCUCUCUCCCCCGAGCCCCUGCUGCCCCAUUCCAUUUCUCUCCCUCCCACUAGUCUCCUAAGCUCCCCUCACCUUCUCUCGAGCUAUCUCUUCUUCCCAUGACCGUUGCAGCGUCGCCUCGGCCACGCUCGUGUCCAACCUCCCCCAACCCUCUUCUCUCUCUCUUGCGCCUCCUCGAGCACCCUAGACCCUCCACGGACUCCUCCCUCUCCUCUCUCCGUCCUCCCGGUGGCCGGAGUGCCCCAACCACGGUCGACCCUUGCAGUCUCGGCCACAGCCGUGGCCCCCUUUCUCCGACGCCUCCCCAACGGAGCUAGCGUCCUAGAGAAGUGCGGCCUGUCGCCCCACGACCGUCGGUGGCCGGGCGGUCGCCGGAAGUGGUCGGAGCCCGGAGGCAGGCACCGACCACACUGGAUAGAACUCCCCUGCCUCUCCCUGGUGCUGGCGAGAGGUAGGGGUGAACCUGACGGGUGGGGCCUCCUGUAAGCCCGCCAACGGUCGAGCCUGCCCUGUUAAGUGGAGGCAGCUUCCGCAGGGCGCGCCUCCCCGCACAGGAAGCGUACUUUGGGGAGUACGCCUUCGUCGUGGCUAGCCUCCUGCGUGCCAGGCUGAGCCGCUGGGCCGGGCCAGUUCUUCCCCAACACUGUGGGCGCGUUAUAACCAAUAUGGAUAACCCCCUUUUCUUUUUCUAUUUCUUUAGAGACUAUUAAUUUCAAAAAAAAUCAUUUGAGCUUCAAAUCUAAUGAUUCAAAUUUAUGUAAGUUUCCAAAAUCAUGGUCUAUGCAGAUUUGUGCAUUGCACGUUUUUCAAAGGAUAUUUUCUUUAGUAGUAUUAUUCAAAUGCAAAUCUGAGUAUUUGAAACUCCACCUUUGUAAAUUCUUGCAGCAAUCAAAUCAGCUCCAAAUGGAGUGAUUCCAAUUUUGAGAGACAUAUUAAAUAAUUCUCUAAUUUCCUAGCCUAGGUGAACAUGUUUCUGUUGCAUCAAAUAAAUAGCCCUUUUGCUGUUUAUUCCAUAUUAUAAAAUCCAUACGAAAUUCAUACCAACUCCAAUUCUAGUGAAACUACUUCCUAAAUGUUUCUAAAUUCAUGCUCUAUUAAAUUUUUAGCAGAAUGUUUUCUCUAGACUUCUUCCAGGAUCACCUAUUCCUCCUUUACUCCAUUCAAAAAUCUCUGGUGAUCCAAAUCUCCUAGAACAAGCUUCAGGUAUUUUUCUUAUGACCAGAGAGGCCCAAGAAAAAAUAGAAUUCCUAUUUUUAGAGAACUUUUGUUUCUGCUUGCUGUGUGGCUUACUAUGGUUAUUUCCAACGAUAGUUGAUGGAAUAGAUGGAGUACUCAGAGUUGGACCCGAAGACCUCGAAGACCCCAGAGACCUAUUAGUGCAAGGCAAGAAGCCCUCUGACCAUGUCUGAGAAAAAUGUUUUAUGCAUGCCAUGUCUAAUACUUUAUUUCGAUGCAUGUAGCCAGGAUUAACCGGUACACCCGUGUAUGGUGAUACCGAUGGCUUCACUGGAGGACUUGCAAUUAAGCAUGACCUUACCAUCUAUGAGGGUCACGCUGAUAAAAUGUUGACAAGUAGAUAGUAGUGUUACCCAUAGGAUGAGCAUAUGCAUGAUGAUGGUAAUACAAAGGUGAUUACAAAGACUUUUCGAAAACCCCGUCGGGUGCCACUAAUGCCCAAGGGUGAUGGUGUUGAACUGGAUGACCACUUGAGAAAGAAGUAGUGUGCUGGAAAUGUUUUGUGUGAGUGGUUUCGGAAAUGGGGUUAUAUUUAAGAUUUGUCGAAUGUCCCAACCUUACAUGUGAACCACGAUACCCAUUUAUGGGAUAGGGCAGUGUUGAUUACUCACUCUCGUGACGGGCUCGUGCCAGGUAGGACGACUAUGCCAUUUUUACCUGUUCCGGGCACACCAUUGGUCCUUGCAUGGAUGAUACGGUCUAGAGUUGGUUCUCGUAAGAUGUACAUCAUGUGGGCUGGGUACCAAUCGAGUGGACUCUUUGUCUAGUGUCGUCAGGGGAAAUGCAUUGAUCGUGUACUUAUCUCGGGUAUGUUAUAUACCGCGAGUCAUGGAUGACACGGAAGUUUCCCGGAUCUCGUGGGUAUAGCAUACAACCUCUAUAGCGUGUAAAACUGUUCGAAUAGCCGUGUCCGCGGUCAAGGACAUUUGGGUGGUGCUGCUUAGACUACGUCCAGUCAUUUCCGCAUAAACCAAUUGUGCGUGUGCAGAAAGGUGUUACAUGAGAAAGUGGUCACUUGGUCAAGUUUGGUGACUUGACAUGGAGUAUGAACCUGAGAUGUUGAGCUCUCAGCAAAUAUGUUGAUACAUGUAACCUCUUCUUACGGUUACUAUCUACCUAUUGAUGCAUGACCAUCUAAAUACUUGACCAUGUUUACGCAACAAUAAAACCUUCUUUCCGUAAAGGCUGCAUUAUACUUCAUAAUGCACUCAAUUACAUAAUCCACAUCAUGGGUUGUUUGCGAGUACAUUCAAAGUACUCAUUGGCUUGCCACUGGUUAUUUAAUUGACCAGGUAAUAGAGAACAGGAGACGGUGAAGAGUACCACGGUGACGUUCCUGUGAGCUAGGAUGCUUCCCAGUGAGAAUGCUUGUAGGUUAAGGCUGAUGGCAUGAGUUCACGCUUUCGACCAAUAAUUCAGCUAUUGGUCAAGUUUGUUGUAUUAGCCUCCAAGGCCCUACCUAUGUAAGACUUGACCCCAAAGUCAUUUUUUGCAUCAGACGGUAUGUAUGGAUGUAAGAAUCUUGUUAUUCAGUUUCUGUGUGUUCGGUGAGCAUUGAUCUCUGGGAUCACUCAGCAUGUUCAUUCGGCGAUCUCGACUCGUAAGUCGGGGUCCCCAUAGAGUUGGUAUCAGACCUAUACUGACUGUAGGAAGCCCUUAGUUAGCACAGACGUUAGUUAGGACAACUGUUUUCCACACCUUUCAAAAGGACUUGUAAAACCUGUAUCUUUCUCACCUCUCCUAAAUUUUUCGAAGGAAACGAAGGUUUUUGCCUUAACAGUUCCACCGUUGUUCUCUUAACUUUCCUCACCUGCUUUUUCAAAACUUGCAAACGGCCGCUAGCACUCUAAUUCCCUCUGGUCACGAGAUUACUUAAAAUCCCCAUGUGUAACUUGGAAGGAGGCAACCUUUCGAAGCAAAUACCUCACGUCUUGGAAGACGAGGAUGACAACGCUACAACCGGACGACACAAACAGAAGCUACCUCCAUGAGGAAUGAGGACAUCGAGGCCCGAAGACGGUGACACUCUCAACACUGUUCCGGAGUGAUGCAACCUUCACCUACGAUGAUCAGGACAUAAUAUGUGCAAGACCAAGAUCUGCAUCGCUAAUAGAGCGACCCUGUCAAUAUCAAGGUUGUGUCGACCACCACCACUGGAUGAGAACCUCGCCAUUCGUUCGCCUCACCUUAGUGAGUAGGAAAACGGUUCUCUUCAUCCCCCUCUCUAGGUGUCGAUAUGAUGAUCAACAUGACUGAUAGGUCGGAACUCUAUCAUGCCUUGCUCAUGUCGUUGCAUAAAAAUUGUCCACUUGGAACUCUUGACGCCUUGGAAGACAAGAAGAUAAUGACAAGAUUGCAAAGAUAACAGAAGACCCUGUCAACACAUCCAUGAGGAACCACCUUCAUCGGCAGCUCCCCAAAUGCGAAGGCGUCAUGGACUCUUUUCAGCCCAACCCGAGUCGUUUCGGCAAACAACAACAAGGGGACACAGCGACACCAUGAGAAGGUCCAGAAGACUAAGCGAACUCCUCCCCGAAGAACAAAGCAAGCACGACUGUCGAGUCUGAGAACCCCUAGGGUAGGAUGAGUCGUGAAUCCCCUAUACGAAGUCGAGUCCGUGAAAUGGUUCGGAUGGAACCAUGUUAUGUGUUGCUUGAUUCUGUUGUUUGUGCUUUGAUAUAAGUCGCGUUUUUGCCCAGGCAACCAGUACGCGACUGUAUCGCGUGACUCAUCUUGAUGUUGAGUUAACUUUUGGCAUUUGUUUGAUUGCACUUGCACUAUAGCACCCCUUAGGCACUCCCCUCGGUGUUUCUGUUCUCUCUCUCUCCUUUCUGGACAACUAGAGACCAACAAGACAAGAUGCACCAAGGAUCCACUUUGACGAGCAGCUGAUACUGGAUACACUGACUAUGACGUGCUCAACCAGGCGCGACCUGUAGAAGUUAUGCUUUCCCUCGAGAUUGAAAACCCCUCCCUAGACCAACCUAAACCUCACAAGUUUCCCCAACUCAAGAUUUCGGGUCACAUGUUUAAAGCAUGGAUUUUCCAAAGCACCCAUUGAGCUCCGAUAAACCCUGUUUAGCACUAGGUUCUUUAUGGAAUGAGUUAUCACAGUGAACAAGUAACCUUCAUUCUUAAGCUAGCACCAGAACCCGGAUGCCAUAGGAAUCACCGUACUUGGUUAUAUGAUUGGUGGACAUGGUUUGUUGUGAUUAUAAUAGGUGUCUCGGGAUAUAGCUAGACUAUCUUGGUGGAUCGUAAUACCCUAUGAUGGUAGGUGAACUUGGUGGAACAUGUUUAUAUAGUAGCAUAACCUACAUGAUCCUGGAGUAAGUUUGGAUUCAGUAGGACAAUUAUGAUCGCGAGCUAAAAUCUUGGUGAUAUAAUAAAUUGGCUUUAUCGAUUAGCACUCAUGGUUUGAUGAUAUUACCAUAAUGACAUGGAGUAACGAGUAAGAGUUCUUAUUGGACUUGCGUUUCGUGUUUAAAUAGGUAACUUACUGGAGUAUCAAUGAUGUAUGAGGCCACAUGGUUCAGAGUAAAUUGGAUUUAGCCCGAUGAUCUCGAUCAUGAUACCAUGUUUCUCGGUGGAUAAUGAGUAGAAGUAAUUGGAAUUUUUGAAUUGAAUUACGAACCUAUAUAAGCUCAGCCUUGGAGAUUAGUUGGCCAUGAUAUUGGGAGUCGGUGGACAUAUUGUGACAUAAUCCUUGCAAUAAUAAGUGGAUUAUGAGGACUCUAAGUAAUCGGGUAGAACCCCAUCGAUAUCAGAUUAUAAGAGUGAUGGGUCCAAUGGUGAUCAAUAGGAUUGGUUGACCACUUGAUUGGAUUCGUAGGAAGGGAAUGAGACACUGGAUUGGUAUACUACGUGUUUCCUUAAUAUAGGAAUGCAGUACCCUUUCAAUUGGAUGAUCUAGGUGAACACUUGGAUUUGUCGUGUCUUAAUUCAAGCUUAGAAGCUUGUAUGCUCUCCCGAGGAUUUUUACAUAGGGAUGCAUGUGUAACAUAGUGAUAGUAUACCUGUGAAAUUUAGUUUAAGGUCUUCCCUCAGACCCCGGAGUUGACUAGCAUGAGUGAUGUGGAGAUAACUUAUGUGAGUUUGGUGUUUUCGAUGAUAUAGGGUGAUAUUGUUCGGAGAUAGAGGUUAGGCUAUUGGCAUCUAAGGAAUGUGCUUAAGGAUAAGAUGAUAGACGUUCACUCGCAUAUUAAGCUCCUUGAAGUCCCCAAGCUUCAUCGAGCCAUAAGAUGGUCGGGUUAUGACCAUAGGAAACAACUCUAAGUCGUUAGACUAUGGCCAACUCUACCCCGACCACCACCAAUCAUGUCUAUGAUGAACAUGGGCAUGGAGAACUAGUUCAUGUUGGACCACAAACCCCUCGGCCAUAGACCACCCAUAGCGAGUUCCUGCUCUCCUCACCUGUCUCAUGAGCACUGUGUUUACGUGAUGCUUGGGAAAGUAUGUUGUUAUCCUCAUGGAUGACAUACUGAUUCACCCAAUAAGAGGAGGAGCACUUUAGUCCUGUUUGGACAAGCCCGAGGAACGUCGGCCGCUAUGCCCCACGAGACUAAGGUGUUAUCUUGAGAAGGUGGGCUUCUCGAAGCAACCUCAAGGCAGCGGAAGUCUAUCCUUCCCAAGACAAGGCGAAGAACCGCCAUGGUUGGGAAACCACGAAGAAGAAGGACAGUAGAAGUCAGCUCGUGUGCUGACUACAUCAACUAUGUCAAGAAGCCUCGAUGAUUCAAGUCGAUAAAGCUUUUGGACAGCGAGAGAAAUCAGAGAGCCUCUUCUUGGUCCAAAUCAAGGGUGAGAGUUCUAAUUGGAUCAUGGUGAAAACCUGCUAAAACUGAUUCACCGCCUCCCGAGCCUCAGACCUUAGGUACUGGGUGACUGGCCUAUAAUCUUGGGUAGCUAGCUCAUCCAGAACACCCUUAUGAACCUUCCCAGAUGGUUGAACCCGUUCUGAACAUUGAGUCUCCGAGCUUAGACUCAUGGGCGAGACCCAACCGAGACCCUCUCACUAGAAGCCUUCGAAGACCCACUACAACACCUCCAAGGAUGAAGACCACCUGCGACCAUAGCUCGCCUCCCUUAAGGGAGUUAGGGACUUCCCCGUCAACAGGGAGCUACGCGAAGACCUUGACCCUUAUGUUCUAACACGAGACAUCUAGAUGUCACUAACUGACAUGAGUAGCCCAGGACCAGCACCCACACACGCUACCUUGUCACAUAUUCCGACCUCGGAGUACACGCGCAAGCCGGAACCUUACAGGAACUUAGUUCACCAAGCCCUUGACCCUCAGACAAGCCUAAGUUAUUUCCAGAGCCAUCUCACAGUCAGGCAAGGAUGUGCGGAGCAUUCAAAGUUGUAUAAUCAAGCACUGCAAGACCCACAACAACAACAUGGGCACGUGAAGACUACCUCCAACUUAAAAUUCAGUUUCUCUCCAACGCCAAGCCAGAAAUCUCGAGGACAAGAUUUUAUUAAGGGGUUAAGGUCUGUCACACCCUGUGUUUGACUGUCCUGACUAAAUUAACUUAUCUAAAAAAAUAGGACCAAUUAAAAUUUUUAUGACUCAUUGUGAUGCUUGAUGUGAUUGUUGCUUGCUUGCAUGUUUGCGUGUGUUUAAAUCCCAAUGUUGUUGAUACUCUCCACACUCACUUCCUUGAUCCUAACCCUUGUCUAAUGAUCCUNNNNNNNNNNNNNNNNNNNNNNNNNNNNNNNNNNNNNNNNNNNNNNNNNNNNNNNNNNNNNNNNNNNNNNNNNNNNNNNNNNNNNNNNNNNNNNNNNNNNCCUAAUCGAUUAGCCGUGUCCACGGUCAUGGACAACUUGAGCCGAAGGCAUUGAAAUUUUCCUGAACUCUCGACACAACUUAAUAAUGAUGUGGGAAUUAUCAACAACUCGGGUACGAGAAUUGUUUGGCGGAACCAUCUCGUUAACAACAAACAAUGUAGUAAUAUUUUGCUUUCAGCCCUCUCUUGUUGUAGGAGAAAAUUGGCUUUAUGCAAAACUUAUAGCCCCACCUGCCAAAUAUGCAUGUAGAGAUAGUUGGUUAUUAUUUUGUCCCCUCUCUUUGAUGACUUGCCGGCAUAUUCCAUAUGCUGACCUACACGGCUGCAAUGUAUCAUGUUGCAGAGUACUUUUCCGACCAGGAGUGAGGCUACGAUCUACGCUCAACGACAUGCCCUGGAGUCGGAUGGACUCGUCUACCUGAUGCUUCCGCUAGUCUUCGUUAGAUAUCUCAUGAGAUGGCCUUCAACCACUUUAUUGUUAAUCAUUAUUGUAAUAAAGUACUCGAUAUGAGAUUUCGAUUAAUAAAGCUGUGUGAUUGAACUCUUGACAUAUACAUUGAUGUACUGAGUGUGUACCAGCAUGAUCUUGGGAUGGUACGGAAACACGAGAGGCUUGACUCGUAUUGAGUCGGGUCGCUACANNNNNNNNNNNNNNNNNNNNNNNNNNNNNNNNNNNNNNNNNNNNNNNNNNNNNNNNNNNNNNNNNNNNNNNNNNNNNNNNNNNNNNNNNNNNNNNNNNNNAUGCCAUGUGUAUAGGACCAGAAACUAUUUUUACCAAACAUUAUUUUGACCAAACAACAUUUCCUUGAUUUAAGCUUUCAAAAACCCCUGAGUUGGGAUUUGUAAUACAAGUCCUCAACUUAGGGAAUUUAUUUUGCACCAAAUAUUUUAUUUAAAUCCCAUUAUAAAAAUGGCUUCCAAAACCACAAUAUUAAUAUUUUAAAAUUUAUUUUACUAUUUUAUUUAAAUACCUUUCUCUGAGGCUAGAGAAGGGAAGUUAAUUUUAUUGCUUUCAAAAUAUUUGAGAAAAUUUAGGGAAACCUAGUGGACAUAUAUAUUCCAUAUAUAAGAGUUUCAACACAUGGUCAUGUUCAAAAUAUUAGGAAAAACCCUUCAAAACCCUUCCUGUCUAUUUCAAGCUUUUGGAAUAUUUCUAUAAGAAAUAUUCUCAAUAAAUCCCAGUAAAAUUCUAGCAUGUCAUCCAUGAUAUAUGUGAUGAUCUUGCAAGUUACAAAUCAAUCCAAGUUGAUUUNACUAAUCUCCUUGAGCUUAAAACUUUACCACAACUCUCUCUAGUCCCCUUUUACCUCCAGUAACCUUUCCAUGGCCAUUGGUCAAUUGUUGAAGGGUGACUCGAUGUAUCUACCUCUCAUUUUUACCUUGGAAACACUAGUUUUACGCCUCUUGCCAUACUUAUUCUCAUGCCAAUGCUCCCACAACUUUCCAGAGAAUCUAUAAUAUGGUAAUGCAUCAUUACAAACAAAUGGAUGACAUGCUCAUGUGGGAAAUAUGAGCAGCCCUUCUAAGACUAGUUCUUGGGCAUAAAUGUAGCUUUGAACUACAAGUGCUAGCCACACACCUUUCCCUGAUCUGAAACUAUGCAGUAGUGUUGUCCUCCCAUAGCAAAUACUGCUAGACAUAGUUUCAUCCCAAGACUACCCCAUUGAAAACCACUUAUGCUAGCCCCAAGUUUGCUUCUGCAAACUUAAUCAGAGCUAAAACCAAUUAAAACCAGCCCCAUUUGGGUCCAAACUUCACCAAUGCUCUCUAGCACGCAUGCCUUGCAUCCUUGACACCUUGGUCUGGCCAAGGGGUGGCUUUGGACACGUAGAGGGGGGUGACCACCUCCCUAGCAUGCAGAAAUGGUGCUCUAGACCUUGUCUUCACCCUGCAGGCCAUUACUACCGCUAGAGCUUGCGUUGGUUUUUCCCCUGAAGAGUAAAGGGUGAUGCAGCACAGUAGCAGUAAGUAUUUCCCUCAGUUUGAGAACCCAGGUAUCAAUCCAGUAGGAGUAUGUAACGACCGAGAUGCGGUCCUUUCCAAUCUGGGGAUCGAGGCCCCGAAUAGGAAAGAAGCGCAUCUAAGUGUUUCGCAAACAGGUAACACAACACAAAUAAUAAUAAAAGUAGACAAUCCGGGAUUCAAUUGUCUUCUCAAAAAUAUCUCAGAGUACAUCACACAUACAACCAAGGUAGUUCCUCUACGGACUACAAAACAUAGAAAUGCUAUGCUACCCUGCCUGCAGGGCCAUGAUCACGACCAUGCCUCAAUCUUCUGGAUAGUUCACGUAAAGGCGGUUUGUCUCCUCGUCGUACUGCCACGCCAGCUGAGUGCCGUCGGGAUCAUCUGUCUCUGGGUACCUGAACCUGCUGGGAUUUUGGAGGAAUCUGUGAGACACAGGGACUCAGCAAUCUAAGACCUUGGUGCCAGAACUAGUCAAGUUAUUAGUUAGGGUAAGAUGAAGUAUUUAAGGUUGCAGCAUCCUAAGCUUGAUUUGGUGGCUAACAUACGUUGCAUUUAUGAAGGUGGUCUAUGCUAGCGGUCGCGAAUACUUGAUCACUAAGUGAUCCUGAACACCUACCUAUGACAUUCAUAACCCCACCGUGUUCCCGAUUGAAGAGAGAUCUUCGAGGGGACAAUCACGGUUACGCACACAGUUGGCAAUUUUAUUAGCUUUUGUUUAAGUUAUCUAAUACCGGAUGUUAACAAAAUAUUCCAAGUUGCCACAUAACCGUGAGCACGGCUUUCCGAAAGAUUAAACCCUGCAGGGGUGCUCCAACUGGUCCAUCACAAACGUACACGGGCCGCAAAGUAAUCCUCUAUCACGAAUCUCGUGAUCUCGUCGGAUUCCUUAGAGGAAAACCUCAACUCUGAGGGAAACCAAAGCUUCACCGGGAUUCCUAUACGCAAGAUAUACCGCUAAGGUAAGGCAAGGCUAGCAGGACCUCCCGACGUGUCGACGACCCCGAUAAGAGCCGCGUAUCUCAGUCUCAGGACACGUCAGAUGGAACUAUCUACAGGUACCAAACCUCAAGUUUCCUUGUGGUGGCCCUGCAGGCAGACCAGUUUGGACCAACACUCAUGAGGAGCACUAGCCCAGGUUGUUGAUUAAAGAUCCUCGGGGUGAUCAUUCCCUAUGCAGUUUAUUAAGUGAUUAGCAAAUUAACACCAAUGUUGGGUCCUGCCGGACAAGCCUUAAUACUACGCGAUUUAUCGAGGGGGUCCCUAUAACAACCCGAACGUGUUAGGAGCGAUCAAUAUGGAAUCAAACACCGGUAACCGGUAACUAAGGCGGCAAUAACGGAACAAAGCACCCGGCAAAAGGCUAGGCCUUCCGUCAUUUAACAAGUAUAUAGGUGCAUUAAUUAAAUAACAGAAUUUAAGAUAAUGAUAUGAAGCGCAUGUUAUCACAUGAGUCAAAGCACCUGCAUCUAGCAAUGCUAACAUUAGUAGCUGAGCAAGGCCUACUUAGCCAAUCAAGUUUUGCUAGGAAGGGAUCAGUGUUUGGGUUCAUGGCAUAUCAAGAGGCAAUUUAAUUCAGUGGUAGGCAGCGAGCAAUAUUACAUGGAAACGCAAACUAGCAUAACAAGUCUAGAGAUGGAAUCAAGGUCAUAUCAUCUUGCCUGUGAUAUCCUCAACUUGGAAUGGUUCUUGUUCGUCCUGCACGUACUCUCCCGAAUCCACGUACUUGUUCUCCGAUCCCGGUGCUACCCAACAUAAGAAUAACAUCCAAUGAACAAUAGCACCUCAAGAUGCAACAAGCACAUGAUGCAUGAGAUGAAAAUGAGCACGCAUCACUAUUUUCUAUCACUAGCUCAAGCAAAAGAAGCUACUUCAAGUUUCUGGACAGAAAUGUACACUAAACUAUUUUGACAUGCAUGAUAAUGACAUGAACAGAUGCGUCUCGUGAAAACGAUGCAAAACCAUAUAAGGAACAUUACAGUCGGAGCUACGGAUCAACAACGGGAAUCAACGAAACAAGAUAUGAAGCCCUACGUGUCAAAAUCUUCACCACACACUCAAUUGGCACAAAUCUGGUAUUCCCAGGUUGCCAAGACAUAUAACAACCCAACAUGAAUUAAUUGGAGCAAGGAAGAACACCACAACAUCAGCUAAGCACCCAUAAUCAUCAAAAUGACAAGACUACAUAAUCUGCCAUAAUCUGCAUCUUAGCACUUUGUGAGCUACAUGCAACAUAGCUACAACACUCCAAAUAUGACAAACAAUAUAUGUGGCUGUAGCCAACCAAGAAUACUAAAAGAACAAGCAAGAAUCACACCAAAAGGAAUUAAACACAGAAAGAUACAAGGCUACAAACUUUCCCAAAACCAUCAGAUCUCAGGGAUUUAGUGAAAAUUCCUACACCUGACUUUCAGUCUUUGCUCUGAAGCUUUUUGGCAGAAACCAAAACAUAACCAACUGGACUCCAAAUGGGAUAAAAUUUAAAAGGGAGCUUCACAAACAUAUCAGGUCCAAAUUCCUAGCACUGAACUAAGGCUAGAUCACAACACAAUGACCAGCACCACCUCAUCUGCAGGAGAAGAAAAUGUUUCAAGAUUCCCAGACUUUGUGAAAUUCCAGAUUUCACUAAGCUGGAAUUUUCAGCCACAUGUCUACUUUGGAUGGGCACCACUUGCACACAUGGAUUCCAAAUCAUGAAUUGAAAACCACAUGUGGUAGAGGGGGUUACCCUCUACUACCACAACCAAGAAUCAAAUACAAGAGCACAUCAACAUGCAUGGAACCAAGCUCUAAACUUAGAAGAAAAUGCAAAUGUGACUUUCCAGAAAAAAUGCUCCAAUGGCAAAUCUAAGUUAUCCGAUGGAUUCCUUGGGAAAUUAUACCAGAAAAUCAUAUAUAGUAUGUGGGCAAUUACUUGGAACAAGUGACCACAAAUUAAGGAAGAGGAAACUACUCCAAAUCAUGGCUAGUAAAUAGUGCAUCAUUUCAUGUAGUUUCUCUAUAUCAACUACUACAUGGUUGAGCUCAUGUGCACAAUGACAAAGUGACAUGGGGGUUUGAACCCCAUGUUUGUGUCAUGCACAUCAACUUCAUAACCACUACUACCAAGCUAUCCACACAAACAACAUACCAUGCCCUCUCAGAUAUGGUCAUGUGAAGGUGCAAAGCUUGCUUGCAAAGGUGGAAUGCUUCUCACACACACAUCUACUCCACAUCAUCCACAAGCACAUCAUGCUCUAGAUCAACACACAUACCUACACCUGCUAAACAUACCUUGCAUCACAGGGCAAACAUACACACAUCAUAGCCCUCAUAAGAUGCACUUUCACAUGAAACUCUAGUGCAUCACACACAACAAAAGGCUAUGCUUGCAAUCCUACUAGCAUAAAACAACCUACACAAGCUCUACUAAAUACAUCUUCUUCACUCACAAUGCAUCAACAUGGAAACAUAGCUAGCAGCACACAAACUUCCAAGCAGAUUAUGAGAGGGGGGUAAUUUCCAACCUACAUGUGCAGAAAUGCCAGAGGUCUACAAAGAAUAUUAGGCUGCAUAAAAAUCAAACAGCAAGGGCAAGAAAAAUAAAAGGAGCAAGGAAAGGGAAAAAAAUGGACAGGCCUGGGAUUCGUUCCCACGUGCCCCUCGUACUGUCCUGUGGUGCAAACCACCCUGCUACCAUGUGCUAGCUCAACAGGGAAAGAUAGCUAAGCAGGUAAAACUGCCCUGCUGAUGCAAACGCUACAGCUGCCGAAAAGAAACUAAAAAGGGGGGUUGCGCCAGGGGGACUCGAACCCUGCACCUAUUGGAUAUACUCACAGAGACACACCACUACACUAUGAGACGGCUUCUGAUAGAGUAGCGUUGUAUCGCGAGGUAUACUGUCUCUGCUGCGUGCCUGCUCUGCACACAGGUGCGCCGGCAACAGGGAGGCCGCCGGCGCACUACUCUGCUGCUGAUGCGGCGUUGCGACGAAGGAUCUACUUCUGCUACUGCUACGCGGGGAAGAUCUCUGGGCCUGCUGCAACACCGAGAUACACCACUACACUACACCACGAACUGCUGCUUCUACGGAAGAGGCGCACGGCGACAGUAAGGUCGCCGGCUCCUCGUCGUGCUACUGCUGCCGCUGCGCCACCGGUGGCAGGAGCAGAACGAGGAGAAGGAAACCCUAGCGAGCUCCUGCUACUGCUCUAGUUCCAUCUAUGCGCCACACACCUCCACCAAACUACUGCACCUCAACACACACUGCUACCAAUCUACAACGACAGAGAACCACAGCAAACACCACGGCGGUUCUAGACGGAGCCGAGGAGGAGAAGGAAGGGGAGGUUGCAGCCUCACAUUGAAAGUAAGGGGGAAGCCGUUCGGAGAAGAGGGCCCGGCCGGAGGCGACGAGGACGUCCUGAUCUGCAGAACCGAAGCAGGGGAAGGAGCACCGCGGGCGUGCCGUUGAAGAGGUCGACCUCGUCGGUGUGGUCGCUUCCCAACCCUACCGAUGAUAGGAAUGGAGCGCGGGGUCAAGGCCCGAGCUCCUGGACAUGGCGGAUGGGCGGGUCGUCAACGAUAGCGGGGGUACACGCGGCGAUGACCUCUCUCUCUCUCUGCUAUCCCUACAGAUGCUUACCAGGGAAGGAAGAAGAAGAGAGAUGGGGAUGGGGGAGAGGAGAGGCGUCGGCGGCAGGAGGGAUGGAGAAGGAACCCUAGGCCGAGGGGGGGGCACGGACGACCACAAUAUAUGGGGGACCUCGACGUUUGUGCAACGGCGUCGUCUCUCUGUCUCUCAGCGAGCUGACGGAAAGGGGGAAGAAAGGAGACGGCGUCAGGAAUGGAGAAGGGGGUCGCGCGCCUGGGCUCUCGCUGGAAUAGAGAGGAACAUGGGCCACACCGAAGGGGGAAGGCCCAUGCUACGCCAGGACGAGAGAAAUAAUUCCCUGGGGGGGUUUCUAUUUAGAAAACAACAGAGAAAGGGAAAAAAUAAUACAAGGGAAAACUACUGGGAUAAAUUCAAAAGGAAAUACCCCCUGGUCAUAUAAAAAUAUGACCUAUUUAAAUAAAAUAAGAUCAAGAUUUCUAGGAGCAAAUAAUAUUUCACAAAACAGAAUUAAUGACUUUAAGAAGAAAUAGAGAGGGAGGGAGGAUGGUUUGUAACCCUAGCAACUUACUAUCACAUGCACUCAUAGUAGCCCUCAACACACACACACAAGAACACAUGCAACACUAGGUAUCUAACCACAAGAUCACCACACCACAUGAAAUGCUAAGAUCAUAUAGCAACAACACAAGUCAAGGGCAUGCAAUGAUAUGCUAUGCAUGCAUGCAUGAGAGGGAAGUAGUAAGGAACACACAUGAAAUCAUGGUACCAAAUAUAACAUCAUAAUCUCUGACAAGGUGGACCCACUUGCAAAAGGUUCCAAAUAGGGAAGGUUUACAUAUGGGGCACUACAGAGUAUCAAUACAAGUCACCAAUGUACCUGCACAAAAACAAACAAACUUGCAUCCAACGCUAUAAAGGGGUUGUCAAUCCCUUCACGAUUAAUUGCAAGGUGAGAUCUGAAGGUGGAAAGUGCAACAAAGUAAAAGUGUAGAGCUGAAAAUAUGGUGUGAAGUAGACCCGGGGGCCAUAGUGUUCACUAGAGGCUUCUCUCAUGAUAUCAAGUAUUACGGUGGGUGAACGAAUUACUGUCGAGCAAUUGAUAGAAUCAUGCAAAGUCAUGAUGAUAUCUAAGGCAAUGAUCAUACAUAUAGGCAUCACAUCCGAGACAAGUAGACCGAUACUGUCAGCAUCUACUAUUAUUACUCCACACAUCGGGAGCUAUCCAGCAUGCAUCUAGUGUAUUAAGUUCAUAACAAAGGGAGUAACGCCUUAAGCAAGAUGACAUGAUGUAGAGGGAUAAAUUCAUGCAAUAGAUAUAAACACCAACUUUUUACCCUUGAUGGCAACAAUUUCGUGAGCACAAAGUUUCUGUCUUUUUCAGCAAGAUCAAACAACCAUCACAAAAACUAGUCAUAAAGGCUUUACUUGGCACAAACACAAAAAGAAACACAAAAAACACAAUCAUAAAAAAAUUAUGAUGGUGUGGACACAAGAAAACAGAAAGCAAAAAUCAAAGAUAAAUUCAUUGGGUUGCCUCCCAACAAGCGAUAUUGUUUAACGCCCUUAGUUAGGCAUAAGGCGAUAGAAUCAAGUAUCAUCGUCUUUGGUGCUCAAACCAUAAGUAAGGUGAACACUCAACAUUUUAAGAUCUUCAUCUCUCUUACUAGAUGGUUCACCACUGUUUUUAGGAACAAAAACAAACUUGGUGGCCUUAUUGUGAGAAAAAUUUGGAGUGUUCUGAACAACGGCAAAAGCAGAACCCAAGUUGGUUAUAACAUCCUCUAGUUUGCCAAUUCUAGCGGAAUCAUGACCUAGUUUUUCGUUAACUGUGGGUUCCCUCUCCUUUCAAUUUUUCAAAGUCAUUCCCACCUUUGAUCCAUUCUGAGUGAUUUGAUUGUGGAUCUUUUUAUCCAAAUUUUCAAUGAGUUCAAUUGUAGCAACUUUAUUUUCAAUGAUAUCCAGUCUAUGCAUCACAUGUUCCCAAGUUAACGUAGUCCCAUUAACCAUGAGUGGGGAUGAGCCUACCAAAUUUAUUAAGGCACCAUAAGAAUCAACGGUAUGGCUACCCAAGAAAUUUCCACCUACGAUUGUGUCAAGAACAUACCUAUUCCAAGGUGAAAUUCCCACAUAAAAGUUGCGAAGGAGACUGGUAGUAGAUUGCUUACGAGUAGAUCUAUUCUGAGCAUUGCAAAUCCUAUACCAAGCAUCCUUUAAGUUUUCUCCCUCAUUUUGUUUGAAAUUAAGAACUUCGCUCUCGGGAGUAUCGUUCAAAGCGAUAGGACUAGCCAUAAGAAUAGGUAGACUAUCCCACACAAGCAAACAGAAAGCAAGCGAAACAAAAGGGCGAACGAAAAAGGAAAAUAUUUUUGUAAUUUUGUGUUUUCAGAAGUGGGGGAGAGGAAAACGAGAGGAAAAAGGCAAAAAAAGUAAAUGCAAGAGAUGAGUUUGCAAUAGUUACUUGGAUCUGCUUCACUUAGAAUAGUCCCCGGCGCCAGAAAUUGACACGUUGAAGGAAGACUAUUCUUGACUUGAUACUCCCCGGCAACGGCGCGAGAAAUCCUUCUUUCUACCUCUUGAGCUUGCGUUGGUUUUUCCAUUGAAGUGGAAAGGGUGAUGCAACACAGUAGCAGUAAGUAUUUCCCUCAGUUUGAGAACCAAGGUAUCAAUCCAGUAGGAGUAUCAAGACAAGUCACCAAUGUACCUGCGCAAAAACAAACAAACUUGCACCCAACGCUAUAAAGGGGNNNNNNNNNNNNNNNNNNNNNNNNNNNNNNNNNNNNNNNNNNNNNNNNNNNNNNNNNNNNNNNNNNNNNNNNNNNNNNNNNNNNNNNNNNNNNNNNNNNNNNNNNNNNNNNNNNNNNNNNNNNNNNNNNNNNNNNNNNNNNNNNNNNNNNNNNNNNNNNNNNNNNNNNNNNNNNNNNNNNNNNNNNNNNNNNNNNNNNNNNNNNNNNNNNNNNNNNNNNNNNNNNNNNNNNNNNNNNNNNNNNNNNNNNNNNNNNNNNNNNNNNNNNNNNNNNNNNNNNNNNNNNNNNNNNNNNGUGGAAAGUGCAACAAAUUAAAAGUGUAGAGCUGAAAAUAUGGUGUGAAGUAGACCCGGGGGCCAUAGUGUUCACUAGAAGCUUCUCUCAUGAUAGCAAGUAUUACGGUGGUGAACGAAUUACUGUCGAGCAAUUGAUAGAAUCGCGCAAAGUCAUGAUGAUAUCUAAGGCAAUGAUCAUACAUAUAUGCAUCACGUCCGAGACAAGUAGACCGAUACUGUCUGCGUCUACAACAAUUACUCCACACAUCGACCGCUAUCCAGCAUGCAUCUAGUGUAUUAAGUUGAUAACAAAGGAAGUAACGCCUUAAGCAAGAUGACAUGAUUUAGAUGGAUAAAUUCAUGCAAUAGAUAUAAAUACCAUCUUUUUACCCUUGAUGGAAACAACACGAUACAUGCCUCGCUACCCCUUCUGUCACUAGGUGAGGACAGCGCACGGUAUGAACCCAAAACCAAGCACUUCUCCCAUUGCAAGAAUUAUAGAUCAAGUUGGCGAAACAAAACCCACAACUCGAAGAGAAUUACAAGGAUACGAAAUCAUGAAUAUAACAGAUCAGAGGAGACUCAAAUAAUAUUCAUAGAUAAUCUGAUCAUAAAUCCACAAUUCAUCGGAUCUUGACAAACACACCACAAAAGAAGAUUACAUCGGAUAGAUCUCCAUGAAGAUCAUGGAGAACUUUGUAUUGAAGAUCCAAGAGAGAGAAUAAGCCAUCUAGCUACUAGCUAUGGACCCGAAGGUCUGUGGUGAACUACUCACGCAUCAUCGGAGAGGCAAUGGUGUUGAUGGAGAAGCCCUCCGUGUCCGAAUCCCGCCUCCGACAGGGCACCAGAAAGGUCCCCAGAUGGGAUCUUGCGGAGAGAAAAGCUUGCGGCGGCGGAAAAUUAUUUUCGUGGCUCUGUCUGGCGUUUUUAGAUUUUUGGAGAAUUUAUAGGCAGAAGAAGUAGGGCAAAGGACGCACGGGGGGCCCACAAGCCUGCAAGGUGCGCCCCCAAGUCGCGGCUAGGGUGCUUGUGACCUCCCCCGGGGUCCUUUGCCUUGGUUCUCAAGUCCCCUGCGUAUCUUCUGUUAUGGAAAAAAUCAUUCUGCGGGUUUUAUUCCGUUUGGACUCCAUUUAAUAUUCUCCUCUGAAAAAGGUCAAAAACAUGGAAAAAAUAGAAACUGACACUUGGCACUAAGCUAAUAGGUUAGUCCUAGAAAAGAUAUAAAAUAGCAUAUUCAUGCAUACAAAACAUCCAAAGUUGACAAGAUAAUAGCAUGGAACCAUCAAAAAUUAUAGAUACGUUGGAGACGUAUCAACCAUGUUUAGCCAUGGCAGUUUGUCCCAAAGCGCCAGGGCACUUCCCUUGACCAUCCAAGUCCCUCCCCGACACUAUCUUGCCUCCAAACUCUCCCUGGCACGUGUGCUCUCCCAUGGCCAGGCCAUCCGAGGCAGCCGAGCCUCUCAUGUCGCCCCUCCUAUUUAUCCCUCUCCCCCCCGAUCCCCUGCUGCCACAUUCCAUUUCUCUCCCUCCUACUAGCCUCCUAAGACUCCACUCACCUUAUCCCAAGCUCUCUCCUCUUCCCAAGGCCGCUGCAGCGUCACGUCGUCCACGCUCACGUCCGGUCUCCCUUGACCCCCUCCUCUCUCUUCCUCCCCGUGGAGAACCCCGAGCCCUCCACGGACUCCUCCCUCUCCUCUCUCCCUCCUCUUGGUGGCCUGAGUGCCCCAACCGUGGACGACCCCUAUAGUCUUUGCCACAGCCGGGGCCUCUUUCUUCGAUGCCUCCCCAGCGGAGCUAGCGUCCCAUAGCAGUGCGACCGCUCGCCCCGUGGCCGUCGGUGGCCGGGCGGUCGCCGGAAGUGGCCGGAGCCCCGGAAGAAGGCGCCGACCAAGCUGGAUCGAACUCUCGUGCCUCUCCCCAGUGCUGGCGGGAGAUAGGGGGUGAACCUGACGAGUGGGCCACCUGUAAGCCCCCCACUGGCCGGGCCCACCCUGUUAAGUGAAGGUGGCUUCCGCAGGGUGCGCCGCCUCGCACAGGAAAGCAUACUCUCGGGUGUAUGCCUUCGGCGUGGCUACCCUGCUGCGUGCCAAGCCAAGUCGCUCGGCCGGCCCAGUUCUUCCCUAGUGUAGUGAGCGCGUUAUAACCAAUAUGGUAUAACCCCCUUUUCUUAUCCUAUUUCUUCAGAGGCUCUUAAUUUCAUAAACAAUUCAUUUGAGCUCCGAAUAUAAAUAUUCUAGUUUCUGCGAGUUUCUAAAAUCAUGGUCUAUGCAGAUCUGUGCAUUGCACGUUUUUCCAAGGAUAUUUUCUGUAGUAUUAUUAUUAAAAUGCAAAUAUGAGUAUUUGAAACUCCACCUUUGUAAAUUCUUGCAGCACUCAAAUCAGCUCCAGAUGGAGUGAUUCUAAUUUCUAGAGACAUAUUAAAUCAUUCUCUAAUUUCCUAGCCUAGGUGAACUUUUUUAUCGGCAAGGUUUAUGUUGCAUCAAAUAAAUAACCCUUUAUGUUGUUUAUUCCAUAUUAGGAAAUACAUAGGAAAUUCAUACCAACUCCAAUUCUAGUGAAGUCACUCCCUAAAUGUUUCUAAAUUCAUGCUUUAAUAAAUGAGUGCCUCCACUCAUUUUUAGUAGAAUGUUUCUAUAGACUUAUUUUAGGAUCACCUAUUCCUCCUUUAAUCUCUCAUGAUCCAAAUCUCCCAGAACAAGCUUCAGGUAUUUUUCUUAUGACCAGAGAGGUCCAAGAAAAAUAAAAUUUCUAUUCUAGAGCACUUCUGUUUCUGCUUGAUGUGUGGCUUACUGUGGUUGUUUCCAAUGAUAGUUGACGGAAUAGACGGAAUACUCGGAGUUGGACUGGAAGACCUCGAAGACCCCGGAGACCUAUUAGAGGAAGGCAAGCAGCCCUUUCACCAUGUCUGAGAAAAAUGUUUUAUGCAUGGCAUGUUGAAUACUAUUCCGAUGCAUGUAGUCAGGAUUAACCGGUCCACCCCUGUAUGGUGAUAUCGAUGGCUUCACUGGAGCACUUGCAUUUGAGCAUGACCUUACCAUCUAUGAGGAUCACGCUGAUAAAAUGUUGAAUAGUAGAUAAUAGUGCUACGUAUAGGAUGAGCAUAUGCAUGAUGACGGUAAAACAAAGGUGAUUACAAUGACUUUUAGAAAACCCCGUCGGGUGCCACUAAUCCCCAAGGGUGAUGGUGUUGAGAUGGAUGACCACUUGAGAAAGAAGUGGUGUGUCGGAAAGGUUUUGUGUGAGAGGUUGUAGAAAUGGGAUUAGAUUUAAUAUUUGUUGACCGUGCCAACCUUACAUGUGCAACCAUGAUACCCCUUUAUGGGAAGGGGUUGUGCUAGCAAAGAGCCCAAAUUACUCGUGGUGGAGUGAUAUGGUCACUCUCGUUUAGGGGUCGUGCCAGGUAGGAUGACUAUGUCGUUUUUACGUGUUCCGGGCACACCGUUGGUCUCUGCAUGGAUGAUACGGUCUAGGAUUGGUGCUUGUAGACGUACAUCAUGUGGGCUGGGUACCAAUCAAGGGACUCUUUGUCUAGUGUCGCCAGGGGAAAGACAUUGAUCGAGUAAUUAUCUCGGUUAUGUUAUAUACUACGAGUCGUGGAUGACACAUAAGUUUCUCGGUUCUCGUGGGUACAUCGUACAACCUCUGUAGAGUGUAAAAUUAUUCGAAUAGCCGUGUCCAAGGUCAAGGACAGUUGGGUGGUGUUGCUUAGACUACGUCCAGUCGUUUGCGCAUAAACCAAGUGUGUGUGUAUACAGGUGUUACAUGAGAGAGUGGUUACUUGGUCAAGUCUGGUGACUUGACAUGGAGGAUGAACCUGAGGUGUUCAAACCUCAGCAGAUAUGUUGAUAUCUGUAACCUAUUCUUACGGUUACUAUUUACCUAGUGAUGCAUGACCAUAAAAAUACUUGACCAUGUUUAUUCAACAAUAAAACCUGCUUUCAACCAUAUUGCACUCAAUUACAUAAUCCACAUCAUAGGCUGUUUGUGAGUAGAUUCAAAGUACUCAUUGGCUUGCCACUUGUUAUUUCAUUGACCAGGUAAUAGAGAACAUGAGAUGGUGAAGAGUACCAUGGUGACGUUCCUGCGAGCUAGACGCUUCCUAGUCGGAAUGCCUGUAGGUUAAGGCUGAUGGCAUGGGUUCACGCUUUCGACCAAUAAUUCCGCUAUUGGUCAAGUUUGUUGUAUUGGCGUCCAAGUUCCUACCAAUGUAAGACUUGACCACAAGGUCAUUAUUCGUAUCAGACGGUAUGUAUGGAUGUAAGACUCUUGCUAUUUAGUUUCUGUGUGUUCAAUGA
rnacentral:lncRNA from 1 species